rnacentral:lncRNA from 1 species
CAUUCAAAUGCAUCACCAAUUUAUAUAGUGUUGGAUUCUUACUUAAUAUAGAGCACCCCUGUCCCAGGCACUGCUAUAAUUUUUUGUGACCUUGAACUUUUCCUACCACUCUCAUCUUUCCCUGUGGUGCGAUAAGUAUCUUCCAACAACAGCAGCCUGGAGGAGUACAAAGCCUUCUUGGCACCUAAAAGCAAGUGUCAUUUCACCAGCACGUUUCUGCAUUGAGCCAAGCCUAUUCAGGGUGAAGAUGAAUCCUCAUUUUUUACCCCACCAUGGCCCCUGCCCACUCCCCAGCAUUCAGCAACUCAUCCCAGAUUCUGCCACUUGGCCUCCAUGAACGGGGCACACAGGCCACAGGAAAUGAUCCCUUACUAACUCAGAAAGCUGAGCUUUAGCUGUGCUGGCUCAGUCCUAGAAUGCUGUCCUGCUGCUGCUGCUGCUGCUGCUGCUGCUGCUGCUGCUGCUGCUGUUGCUGCUGCUGCUGUUGUUCUUGCUAUGAUGGAAACUUCCUUCUGGGGAGCUGCCACAAGUUUCCCUAGAUCAUUCAGUGGUCAUUUUGUUUCCUACGUGGCCAGUAUGAUACUUCUCCACAUUGAAAUCUUUGUCAAUGAGUAGGAAGGAGAGAGCCUUGUGGUUCUCUACAUUAUUCUCUUGGAAUUUUUACAAAAAAAAAAUGCAUUUAGGAAAAUUGAGACCCAAAGAAGUUAAAUGAUUGGGUGGAAGUUCCAGAGGUAGUGAGUGGCCAAGCCAGGAUAGGAAUCAAAGUACUGCCCUGCCUGCUUUCCCUAGGCUGCCUGCCAAAAAGAAUUGGAUCCAGCAGUCUUUGCUGGGUGAAAUUUUCUUCUUGCAAAGGCUCAUGAAGCAUCAAAUCAACAACCUCUAAAUGACAAUUUUCACUAACUGUGUGUACCAGGACCAAAAUCCCUGUGGAAGGGGACCCCUCUCUUCAUGACUCUGAGUCUGUAAACCUUUCUCUAGAUCAAUGACCUAAUCUAAUCUUUGAAGUGUUAAACUCUUGAACCUGUUCCAUUUUAUAAAGUUACUGGGUCCAGCUCCACCAGUCUGCUUUUACCCAUGAUGGAAUAACAGAGUUUUAGUUCAGUUAAAGGAGCUAGUACUCAUUUUAGAGCUGAGAAAAGGAAGCAGAGAGAGAAGCAGUAACUGUACCUAAUUAGUGAGAAAGCUAGAAUGGGAACCCAGAUCUCCUUUCUCUCUACUCGCUGUAUUCUGGGGGCACAUUUUAAUUUUUUGCCUAGAGAAGGAAAAAGAAAAUAGAAACCAAGCUUUGCAGAAACUCACCAUCCCUCCUACACCCACCAGAGACCCAAUAUUUAUUCUCCUUUUUUGCUUUAACAAAUCCUUAAAGACUCCAGUUCCUAGCAGCCUAUGGCCACAUGAAUAAGUUUUAAAAAUGAGAAGUAAAUGGAAUUGGCUGUCUUCUUAAAGGAGGUAGAGUGGGCCCUUCUUGGCCCUUUCCUUUUUCCUGCUGCCUGUAAGGCUGAUAUAUGACUGAAGCUGCACCCAACAGGGCCUUGGAAAUGGAGGGAUCAAGUUAGGAAGAAGCUAGAGUCUGACACUGAGAAGAUGUCAUACCAAACCUGGAUUGCUGUGCACACGUGUGUGUGUUUGUGUGUGUAAGAGAGAAAGAGUGAGAGAGAAGUGGGGGGGGGGCUGUCUGAAAUCUGAAAUUAAUUUACUCUUAUUUAAGGAUUUUCUGCUACAAGCAGCCGAACCUAUCCAACCAAAUUUCUAGGAUGAAGGUAAAUGUUAAAGAACGUAACUUGAACGGAAUUUGGGUUUUUUAUUUUUGUUUUUUGUUUUGUCUUUUGUUUUGGGGAGGGUUUCUUUGGCCACUCAGGUGGCAUGCAGAAGUUCCCAGGCCAGGGAUAGAACCCACACCACUAUAAUGACCACAGCUAUGGCAGUGACAACACCAUAUUCUUAACCCACUGAGCCGCAAGGGUACUCUGAAUGGGCUUUUAUAUUAUUAUCAGUAUUAUUUGUCUUUUGUUUCCUAACUAACAUUUACUAUCUUCUGUUCAGGAAUGUAUUUCACCAGUCCAAGUCCUACCUCUCAUCUUGCGUUAUUUCAUCAUCUGCAUCCAUGCAACAUAGGAUUUUGUGUUAAUAUUUGUUUCCUGAGGGUGUAAAUCCCCAAUAGUUGUAAUCUCUUUGAUUUCAAUGUCCAAGUGCUUCUUAGAAUCAUUUACAGUUUCUAACUUGAUACUAAGACAUUAAGUCUUUCAGUAAAUACUUAGAGAAUUGUAUUAAAUGAAUCAUUAAUGUUUGUUAUCAAUGUAAGUUGUUUAGAAUAGUUAAACAGUGUGUGAGUGUGUGUUUGUGUGUGUGUGUGUAUGCACGCUCGCCACUCACAAAGUUAUGCAGCAGGUUAUUGGAAUCCCUUUUUCACACAGAAGGAAGCAGAAUCAGGGGGGUUCAUAAUCUGUGUAAUGACCUGCCAAGGAUGCUCAUCUUGGAAGAGAUAGAACUGGAACUGAAACCUGGUCUUCAGAAUAUGAAUAGAUCUUCCACUGCCCUCUGCUGCCUCAAAUCCACAAAUAAUCCUUUAACGUAUACUCAGUACAGCAUACCUUAGGUAGGACUCCGGCCAUCAGGAGCUAACCAUUAAAGUCAUUCAUGUGAUCACUCCGUUGUAUUAGCAAAUAACUGUCCCCUUCCUUUACUGUGUUCCCCUCAGCCUUAUCCCUAGAGAUGGAUGGUGCAGAGUGACUUACCCAAACACAGCAUGCAUGCUUCCCCUACCUCUAGUGUAAAGUGGUCACUGGCAAGUGGUGACCAGCUUCUUUCCUUGCCUGUGAUGUCAUCCAGUCACUAGGGUUUCAUUUCUUACACUAAGUGGUCUGGAGUCCAAAAGUUUCCCUGAACCUCACAUAGACAUAAGUGCCAAUCAGUGAGUAUUUUAUAUAGUCAGAGGAUGUGAAUCUGUAUGAUUUGAAAAACCUUACAGCUCCCUCUCCCAAUGAAUUUUAGCCUCAAAUAUUAUUAGCAUUAAAAACCUAUAAUUCAUUUUUUUCUUUUACUAUUUGUAUUACGUUAGAACAGAAAGGGUUCCAAAGGAGAAGCACCUCAAAAAUACUCUUCUGUACUCUUAAUCUUUGAUCUGAUGAGCAGCUGUACCAGACCUGCCUUGCAACUGGAUAUAUUCUCAGUAUUUUUUAAGAUUUUGGAUUUUCAGAUCUCAAUUUUCAGCUCUAUAAUUAUCUGUAGGAAUAGUUUCUUCCUUUUUCCUCUUUGUUAUGAACCUAUAUAUCUUACCAUCUACUCAAAAUUAAUCAUAACAGGUGGUUGAAACCUCAGAAGUAAACAUUCUUCCCAUCUCUUUGCAUUACUGUCCAUGGAGGAAGUGAAAAAAAGCAGAUGGACUAUAAGGUUAAUCAGAUAAUGCAGUAAUUGUGUGUAGUACAUACAUUUUCAAAAAAUUAACUGCAUUUGCUAUCCUUUAGAUGAAAGUCCUGGUUGCAGAGUGGCAUUGGAGGGGGGGAGUCACAGAGUUUAACGGUGGCCCCACUCAAAAUUAGGUGUGGCUUGGACCAGACUAAAGCAGAUGUAUGAGAAGUGUGCCUCCCCUGUAUGGGAGUCUGGGAACAGGCUGGAAGGGACACUGAAGAAGGGUUUUUAAAUCUCCAGAUCUGCAUCCUUACAUUGUAACUUUGCUAUUUUUAUUUUUUGAGUUACUCUUUUUUCUGAUAUUUUAGACAGACUGUGGAACUGCCAUGUCCUAGGGUUUUGAAGACAUAUCGUAAGGAGGUUUUUCUUCUUAAAACCUUAACUUCGCUGCUAGUUACUGCUAGGAGCUUGAAGCUAUGUGAAUUUUGCUGGUAGUGGAAGAUUUUUAGUGCUGGAAGCAAAUAGAAGUGGAUCAAACUUUGCCCCUAACUAGAUGACCUUGAGAGUCUUUUCACAUCUUUGAACCCCCUUGCGUUAGCUGUAAAAUGCUCUCAUUUUGUUAGUGCUAAUGAUUCCUUGAGAACAUGAGUACCAACGUUCCCUUCAGUCCUGACAUUUCUAGAUUCUAGGGUACACAGUAAGCAUGACAGUUUAGACAAAGAUAUUUUCAUAUGAAAAUUUAGAAAACCCAGAAAUGUACAACCUUGCAUAUUUAAGUUUUAAUUCAAAUAAACUUAUUUACAAUGCAAAAAUAAAUAUCUUUGUGGAACUUUUGUAAACUACCUAAUAGCAUGAUUAUAAAGCAGAUAAAUAGUUAAAUAAAUUUGCAAUGUGAAACAAUCUGUGAAUAUGUAUAUGUUUAUAUAUUCACACAGUGCUUGUCACACAGUAAACACAAUAUAGGUAUAUAUUAUUAUCAUUAUCAUUUUUACUCUUAUCAAUACAUUUUUCUCACUGGGACCAAUAUUAUAGAAUAAAUAGUCCAACUGUAAUAAAAAAUGUCUUCAAAAUGUUUAGUGGGGAUUAGAAUGUGUUUCUAGGCACCUUCAGUCUGAUAUGCAUUGAGCCUUCUACAAGGACAGUAAUGAGCUCUUAUGAAAUUUUUCCUUUGGGAAAACCAUUUAGAAUGACAAAGAAUGUUAACAUGGGACUGGUUUGCAGGCAAGAUAGUCUAUGUUUUAGUCAUAUCACAGUUUAAUCUUUUUAAAUAUCUGCUUCGAGUCCUUGAGUUUCUCCACUGGUCACCUUUAUCUUUCAUUUCUUAUUCCUUAAUAACAAUCCUAAUCAAGCCUUCAGCCCUUGAAUGUGUUGCUAAACAUCUUUAGGGGAGUACUAUUUUAUCCCUGAUUAUGUGACCAAAACAUAUCAUCAAAUGUUUAUUGUAUCAUCAUUAUUAAGAUAUUUAAUCCCUAUGCAGAGAACUUUUAAGCUACUCCAGUAAAAAAUUUUUAAAGGUUCCAAGGAUAACCAAAUCCAAAACAAAAUGUGGAUCUUAGCAUAAAAGCUAUUCAUAUCAGAAAGACAAAUGAGAGCAGUAUGUGGAUUCUGAAUCAGAAUGGUGGUAGGCUAAAGCCUGAGUGACUAUUAACAAUGUCUGACAUCACCAAAUUGACCAUGAUGUAAUGAAAUUCAGAAUAAAAAAAAAAGUUAGAGUUAGACACAAACUGAGAGGUCGAAUAGUAAGAAAUCUUUCUUUUCACAUGAGGAAAAUGAGGCCCAAAGAGAGUAAGUGACCUGCUAAAGAGAACACAGCUGUUUAGUAGCAGAACCUGGUCUUAGGGGACCCUUGACUACUGGUCAGACUUUCUUUCUGUUGUAUGUACCUCCAAGAAAACAUGUGGAAUCCUAAGGCUGCAUUCCAUUCUCUGGUGCACUGAACAGUGGGCCUGGAAACAGUCAAGGAACGCUUGCUUGUCUUUGGUCCUCAUCUGUGAAAUAAUAAGGCUGAACAAGACAAGGGCCUAGAUCUUUUUUAGCCUGAAAUUGCUCAAAUUCCCAGCCAUCAUUCAUUUUUCUUGGCAAUAUAAACCAGAUAUUUUUCUCUGGUGCAGUUUAAACUUGUAAUUUCAGAACUAUAACUAUGGGUAUGAGGCUUUUAGUCAUCAAGGCAUUUUUUCUAAACACUUAAGCUGAUGCAAUUUUCAGAAAUUCAGAAAACAAAUUUUGCAAUCAGUUUUUCUAGUGAUUGAAAAGAAGGUAAAAGGACAAAUAGGAGAGGUAUAAUUAUGUGGUACAUUUAGUCAACAACUGUGCAGACAAAAUGUCAAAAAUUAGGGCCACCAUCAGGCAUUUUAAGGGUACCAUGAGUCACCAUAUUUGUGGAUUUUCCUCCAUGAGAUCUGUGUUGAUUAGGAAUGCGACCUCUGG